rnacentral:rRNA from 1 species
GACGAACGCUGGCGGCGUGCUUAACACAUGCAAGUCGAACGGAAAGGCCCUGCUUUUGUCGGGUGCUCGAGUGGCGAACGGGUGAGUAACACGUGAGUAACCUGCCCUUGACUUUGGGAUAACUUCAGGAAACUGGGGCUAAUACCGGAUAGGAGCUCCUGCUGCAUGGUGGGGGUUGGAAAGUCUCGGCGGUUGGGGAUGGACUCGCGGCUUAUCAGCUUGUUGGUGGGGUAGUGGCUUACCAAGGCUUUGACGGGUAGCCGGCCUGAGAGGGUGACCGGCCACAUUGGGACUGAGAUACGGCCCAGACUCCUACGGGAGGCAGCAGUGGGGAAUAUUGCACAAUGGGCGGAAGCCUGAUGCAGCAACGCCGCGUGCGGGAUGACGGCCUUCGGGUUGUAAACCGCUUUCGCCUGUGACGAAGCGUGAGUGACGGUAAUGGGUAAAGAAGCACCGGCUAACUACGUG